rnacentral:lncRNA from 1 species
AUCCAAAAUUAGUACAAACUAUGUAUAACUAUGGACUAUUGCAUGCAGUAUAUACACAAGAUGGAGAUAACCUACAACAUAUACCAGAAUUAUACCAAAUAGUAAAAAAAAUACUUGGGAAUUACCAAAGCAGACUUAAUAUUAUUAGGAUUUAUUCAGCACCCUGCGAAGUUACACCACAAAAAAUAUAUCAUUCUAUCACAGCAGUGAAGAUAGGACUAAC